ensembl:lncRNA
AUGGUGCUGCUGGGAGAGGUCAGCGAAGGAACUCGAAGGCAUGCAAGAAGGAUUUUACUGCGUGAUGGGCCACCACCAGAGGACGCCAGAUAUCCAGCUCAGAUACCACCUGCUUCCUCAUCGUCAGCCUGUAUGUUUGAUAACACAUUUCAAACUUCUCAGCAACUUACCAACCAGAAACAGGAAGCUUCACACAUACAGAUGUGUUUUACCUCACUGUGUGUUACCAGGUUUAAGCCCCAUCACAACCAAGCAGGCCUCCUUGCAUCGUGUAUAUGAAAUGUGACGCUGUAGCCUUGUCCCCAGUGGAUGUCUCUGCUGCAGCUUUCUAUUUUCCCACUCUGGCUGCCCACUGGGGCUGAAGCUCCCUGUCAACUCUCCUGCCAAGGUUACAGCCUGCUCCCACUGCUGCUGCUGCUGCUGAGGAAUUUAUUAUCAGCAUAUAUUUAUAUUUCUCCACUGGGAUUGGUGCCUAUUUCCAUCUAUAUCUGUGUGGGGUUUUUUGGCAUUGACAUAAAGUGUUACAAAAAUAAAGAAGGCCAUACGACUCAUUCAUCUGCCUAGUGUGUAUAUCUGACUGCAACUAUAUUUAAUUUAAUGAUAAUGUACUGUAUUGAUCCUGCUUGUCAGGAACAGCCAUGUAUUUUCUGCUUUUACUAAGUGGAAAGAUUGUAUGCGAUGGCUUCAUUCGUUAUAGAUUAGGUAAUCAUUUACUAAUGCUUAUUAAAACAGUCGUAGCGUUUGAAGAAAUGUCAUUUUUUGACCACUUAUUGCAGCUGGCUGCUGCAUGGGUUGCCAUAUUUAAUCUAAAGAUGCCAGUGUAACAGCAGUAAAAGGGUCCCUACUUCUGCGAUUGGGCACUUACGUUUUCUGUCAAGUAUUUCUGCAUGUUUUUUGUGCCUCACCACAGUUAGUGGGAAAUGAUUAAAUCAAGCUGUGAAUAAAGUUCAGUGAAUUUCUCAAAAUAAUGCACUAUGCGAUUACAAUGGAGAGCGAUUUGGUUCAUGGACAAAGGUGGCCUGUUUUCAGAUUUCAUGACAAAUUUAAGAAGAUUAAAGGUGUGGAGUUUGUUACAAGUGUUGCAUUUGCAUUUGGCUGCAAUUUAUGGGAACCUUAAACGUGGUAGUCCAAACAGAUGCUGGCCCAAAGGAAGGAGGACAUCAUUAAGCUUUGAAAAAAGAAAAACUAGUUACUGUGGUCGGUCAACAGUCUGGUGCAAUAUGCACUGAUGAGCUCAGCAACAACAAAAGGCUUGAGACCACUGAGGGAUCACUGAUGACAGAACAUCACCGCCAAGCCAAGAAAGAGUAGAAAAAAACAGCAUCGGGCCAUGUCCACGGGUGCCAAACCCGACAGGACUGUGAGUCGUUAUUAGGAGGGUUACAAAGGUUACAUUUUUGCAGGUUAAUGAUGUCCUCCAUCUUUUUCUCUCUCUCUCAAUGACUGUCUCAUUAAUACAAACACAAAGCACAUCCAUUAAAAAAGUCUUGUAUAAUCAAUUGGCAGUGCGGCUGCCGCAACAAACUAGUGUCAUUAUUAGUGGAUAGAUCUGUGUAUAGAAAGUAAGAAAAGAGUUUUACAAGUGGAAAUUUCACUGCACUGGGAAUGUAGAUGCUCAUAAUAUAUAAAUACAUUAAAAGCUGUGUAAAUGUGCAUCAAAAGAAAUGUAUUCCUAACUUAAUUCAGAGUUCCUGACAUUUUAGUUGCUUUUAGUUGUUUAAACCUUGUUAUUUUUGAUUGACUUCAAGCGUUUUGUUGGAUAAAUGAACCCCAUGCCCAAUUUUACUGUACUCGUUUUCAUUGUUUUAUAAGAGUGUGUGCCUGGUGGAGGACAAAAGCAAAGCAUGAAUGUGACUCCUGAGUGAAGUGAGUUAGUAGGUUUAGGAACACUGCAGAGGGAGAUUCUGCUCAAUGGUAAAAUAUUGAUCUGUAUUAAACCUAAAGCUGGCUCCACUGAGGUUUUUCGAGGCAGAAGUAGUAAAGCACACCCUGUUACAGUGUGACGUGUCACUGAAGAAACAAAUAAUUGAUCAGAUUUCAGCUGUUGAAAAUGACCUGUUGGCCUAUAAUCUGUGAAACAUACGUCAAAAAUAUCUCUCAUGAAUUAUAGGGUUAACCCAUUAAUCUCUGGCUCGCCUCCACAGUGUGUCUUUGUUCUGUCUUCCUCCCCUCACCCACA